GACGAACGCUGGCGGCGUGCUUAACACAUGCAAGUCGAACGGAAAGGCCCUGCUUUUGUGGGGUGCUCGAGUGGCGAACGGGUGAGUAACACGUGAGUAACCUGCCCUUGACUUUGGGAUAACUUCAGGAAACUGGGGCUAAUACCGGAUAGGAGCUCCUGCUGCAUGGUGGGGGUUGGAAAGUUUCGGCGGUUGGGGAUGGACUCGCGGCUUAUCAGCUUGUUGGUGGGGUAGUGGCUUACCAAGGCUUUGACGGGUAGCCGGCCUGAGAGGGUGACCGGCCACAGUGGGACUGAGAUACGGCCCAGACUGCUACGGGAGGCAGCAGUGGGGAAUAUUGCACAAUGUGCGGGAUCCAGAUGCAGCAACGCCGCGUGCGGGAUGACGGCAUUCGGGUUGUAAACCGCUUUCUCCUGUGACGAAGCGUGAGUGACGGGAAUGGGUAAAGAAGCACCGGCUAACUACGU
rnacentral:rRNA from 1 species